AAAUUUUUUAGUCUUGGAGCAAUCUUGACAUUCUAACAAUAUGAAUCUCGCACUCAUCUUAGCCAUCAUACUGCUUGCUGAGAAUCAACCACGUCCUCCACAUGUCACAUCACAGCAUCCAGCCAACACCUCAAUUGUAAAACAAACUUAACAUUAUGUUUCUUUCUUUCCAAAAAGGAAACUUUUGGAAUUGUCUUGAAUAAAUGGCUUAACUAAGCUAUGAGAACAUA